GCGGACAUCAGCCACGCAGGACGUCACUUCGAAGCAUCCCGAGUGGGCACACGCAACACGGACGCACGCCUCCAGUCCACCAUGAUGAGGACGCACGUAUGGAUUUACCAGGCGCUGGUGUGCGCGCUGCUGGGCAUGCUGCAUGCAGGCGACUUCAGAAAGAGUCGCCAGUCUUUGCAGCGCUACGAGAAGUCCGAAAACCACCUCCUGGUGUGCGCGGACUGUCCUCAGCCGCCUCUGGUGCGGAAGAGCCGCUCGCAGGAACACUGCGCCCGUAAAUGCAAGAAGGUGAAGAAGCACUUCAAUUGCAGGGCCUUCAACUUCCACAAGCACAACAGGAAAUGCCACUUGCUUCCCUUCGACCGCUUCGGCCACGGCGUGCAGAAGCAGGCCAACACCAACUUCACGCUGUACGAGAAGAAAGAUUAUAUAAGGGAGUGUAUCAUGGGACCCAAGGACAGCUACAGAGGGAGGAGGUCUUGGACCAAGUCAAACAUCACUUGUCAAGCUUGGUCUGAUAAUAACAUCAAUGAGCACACGUUUUAUCCCGAUAGGUACCCGACGCAAGACCUGAGGGAGAACUUCUGCCGGAAUCCCAACAACGACCCCGGUGGUCCGUGGUGUUACACCACUGAUCCCAACGUACGGGCCGAGGAGUGCGGCAUAGCACACUGUUCCGAGGAUGUUUGCAUGACAUGCAACGGCGAGGAUUACCGAGGAAAAGUAGACCAUACCAAGAGCGGGAAGGAGUGCCAGAGAUGGGACUCAUCGAGGCCACAUAAACACAAAUUUCAGCCCAAAAAGCACAGGGACAAAGGCUUGACGGACAACUACUGUCGGAACCCGGAUAACCGCCUCCGUCCCUGGUGCUUCACUAUGGAUCCCAAGACUCCCUGGGAGUACUGCAACGUCACAGUAUGUGAGUUCGACUCCUUCAGCAGCGAGGAGCCAGAUGUGAACGUGACGGCGUCCUGCGUCCACGGGAAGGGCAAAGACUACCGAGGAACGAUGAAUGUCACUCCCGAGGGGCUGACGUGUCAGCGCUGGGACUCGCAAUUCCCCCAUCAGCACUCGUUCAUUCCCCACCACUUCAAAUGCAAGGAUCUCCGGGAAAACUUCUGCCGCAACCCGGACGGCUCAGACUACCCGUGGUGCUUCACCAACGACCCCAACCAGAGGAAGGCCAACUGCACGCACAUCUCCAGGUGUGACGUAGAGGACGCGCAGAAAACUGAGUGCUACGAGGACCACGGCGAGACGUACCGGGGCGCUUUAGCCAUCACUCGCUCGGGGAUUCCUUGCGCCAACUGGUCGCAUCACAUAAACAGCGGGGAUUCUCACUCUACACUAUCCCAUGUAGGGCUGGAGAGGAACUACUGUCGCAACCCUGACCGGGACAAGCAUGGCCCCUGGUGUUACACCGACCCAAACACGCGCCUGUCUUGGGACUACUGUAAACUGAAGCAUUGUGAUCCUGCCCCAGCGACUCCUCAUGUGAACGCCACGCUCGGCCCCCCUGGUGCGUCCACAACCCGCCCCAGGAUAUCGUGCUUCGUCCACAUUAACACCCGCAUCGUUGGGGGACACCAAGUACGAGGAACAGAUGGCAGCUGGGUCGUGAGCAUCCAACGAGAAAAGAUUCAUUUGUGCGGAGGGUCUUUGAUCCGGGAAAACUGGGUGUUGACGGACCAACAGUGCAUCACGUCCUGCGUUCCCGACCUGAGGGAAUACAGCGUCCAGGUGGGUGUGCGCCACCUCAACGAGUCUUCCCGCCAUCCCAGACUCGCCAUUUCUCGUCUCAUCUGCGGGCCGGAGGGAUCCAACCUGGUCAUGCUGAAGCUGUCAGACCCAGCUCCCGUGUCCGAGGGCGCGUCCACCAUCCAUCUUCCCGUAAAGGAGUGUCACAUUGCAGAGGGAACAAACUGCACCAUGUACGGAUGGGGGGAAACCAAAAACACGGGACAGGACGAGGCGCUGAACGGCGUGACCAUGCCCAUGGUGGACGGGGACAUGUGCUCGCGAAUCAAAGGGGACGCCGGAGACAGCAGGAUAUGUGCAGGAGGACGGAGAGGAGAAGGCGUAUGUGAUUGAUCUAUUGUGGACAAUACUGUACGGGUCCAAAAGAACUUGAUCCCUCGGUCCUGGUCCAGUCAUAAAAAGCUGAUGGCGUGCAGACCAGAUAUAAAAGGCACGACACACUGUGAGGACAGGAAGGAGUCGGACAUUGUCUCCAAGACUAAGCUAAGUCCCGGACAGGAAGGAGUCGGACAUUGUCUCCAAGACUAAGCUAAGUCCCGGACAGGAAGGAGUCGGACAUUGUCUCCAAGACUAAGCUAAGUCCUCUCUUCUUCCGGGCUCACACACGUCCUGCUGCUGGUUUUUGGGAUCAUGGUGGACCAGUGUCUGGGUCGAGUUAAAUGGUCCACACUCAACACUUCCAGAACCUAGAGACAUUAUUCCAAAAAAAUAUAUAUAUAUUUGUUUUUCCAAUAAGUCCUCAAAAACAUCAAAGCUAGCCUGGUCUUGAGAUAAUAUUUUGCUUGUGUUUAUGCAGUAGAUCCUCAAAAAUAGCAGAGUGCUUCUGUUACACAGAAGCGUGUUUUUCAAAUAGAUUCUUAAAAACGCUACAGAAUUUUGCAUUUUGUAGCUAAUUCUCUAUUAAAAACAGCACAUACAUACACUACUGUCACACAGAGGAAUUUUGAUUAGCAUUUUUGCAGGUGGUCACCAAAAAGAGCAGAUUGUUCCUGUUAUAUACAUAAUAUUUGAUUGGUGAUAAUAAAUUAGAUACCCCAAAACAGCUAAGCACUCCUUUCAUAUAGUGGAUCUUUGACUAACAUUUUUACAGUCAGUCCUCAAAAAUAGCAGACCACUCUUUUGAUAUCAAGAAUCUUUGACUUGUAUUUUUGCAAUUGAUCCUCAAAAGCAGCAAAACGCUCUUUUCACAUACGAAAUCUUUACAGCAAGUGCGUUUGCAGUCACUCCCUAAAAACCGCGUAGCACUUCUGUCAUUUAAACCAUCUUUGAACAGUGGUAUUAAAUUAGAUUCCUAAAAAUAGCAGAGUGCUCCUGUUAUAUAGAAACGUAUUUUCAAUUAGAUUCUUAAAAACACUACAGAAUUUUGCAUUUUGUAGCCAAUUCUUAAAAACCAGCAAAAGGUUAUUAAAAACAGCACAUACGUACUACUGUCACACAGAGGAAUUUUGAUUAGCAUUUUUGCAGGCGGUCCCCAAAAGGAGCAGAUUGUUCCUGUCAUAUACAGAAUCUUUGAUUGUUGAUAAUAAAUUAGAUACCCCAAAACAGCUAAGCACUCCUUUCCUUUCAUACAGUGAAUCUUUGAUUAACAAUUUUACAGUCAGUCCUCAAAAAUAGCAGACCACUCUUUUGAUAUCAAGAAUCUUUGACUUGUAUUUUUGCAAUUGAUCCUCAAAAGCAGCAAAACGCUCUUUUCACAUACGGAAUCUUUACAGCAAGUGCGUUUGCAGUCACUCCCUAAAAACCACGUAGCACUUCUGUCAUUUAAACCAUCUUUGAACAGUGAUAUUAAAUUAGAUUCCUAAAAAUAGCAGAGUGCUCCUGUUAUAUAGAAACGUAUUUUCAAGUAGAUUCUUAAAAACACUACAGAAUUUUGCAUUUUGUAGCCAAUUCUUAAAAACCAGCAAAAGGUUAUUAAAAACAGCACAUACGUACUACUGUCACACAGAGGAAUUUUGAUUAGCAUUUUUGCAGGCGGUCCCCAAAAGGAGCAGAUUGUUCCUGUCAUAUACAGAAUCUUUGAUUGUUGAUAAUAAAUUAGAUACCCCAAAACAGCUAAGCACUCCUUUCCUUUCAUACAGUGAAUCUUUGAUUAACAAUUUUACAGUCAGUCCUCAAAAAUAGCAGACCACUCUUUUGAUAUCAAGAAAUCUUUGACUUGCAUUUUUGCAAUUGAUCCUCAAAAGCAGCAGAACGCUCCUUUCACAUACGGAAUCUUUAACACGUGCUUUUGCAGUCACUCCCUAAAAACCGUGUAGCACUUCUGUCAUUUAAACAAUCUUUGAACAGUGGUAUUAAAUUACAUUCCUAAAAAUAGCAGAGUGCUCCUGUUAUAUAGAAGCGUGAUUUUCAAGUAGAUUCUUAAAAACGCUACAUAAUUUUGCAUUUUGUAGCUAAUUCUUAAAAACCAGCAAAAGGUUACUGUCACACAGAGGAAUUUUGAUUAGCAUUUUUGCAGGCGGUCCCCAAAAAGAGCAAAUUGUUCCUGUCGUAUACAGAAUCUUUGAUUGGUGAUAAUAAAUUAGAUACCCCAAAACAGCUAAGCACUCCUUCCAUAUAGUGGAUUCUUUGACUAACAUUUUACAGUCAGUCCUCAAAAAUAGCAGACCACUCUUUUGAUAUCAAUAAAUCUUUGACUUGCAUUUUUGCAGUUGAUCCUCAAAAACAGCAGAGCGCUCCUGUCGUAUGGAUAAUCUUUUGAGUAGAGUAGAUUUCUAAAAACAGCAGAACGCUACUUUCACAUACGGAAGCUUUGACAAGUGCUUUUGCAGUCACUCCCUAAAAACCGCACAGCAUUCCUGUCAUUUAAAGAAUCUUUGAACGGUGGUAUUAAAUUAGAUUCCUAAAAACAGCACAGCACUCUUGUCAUAUAAACAUUUUGAUUUACAGUAGAUUCCUAAAAACAGUGGAAUGCUCUUAUACAGAAUCUUUGACCAGUGCUUUCGCAGUCAAUCCCUAAAAACCGCAGAUCGCUCCUUAAAGAAUCUUUGAAUGGUGGUAGUGAAUUAGAUUCCUAAAAACAGCUGCUCGCUGACUCGCUUUUAGCAGUUGAUCCCCAAAAUAGGAUUUUCAUUUCAUUGAGGAUUUUUGACUAGCAAUGUUGGGGUUGGUCGACAAAAACAGCAGAGCACUCCUAUCAUAGAGAAUCUUUGACUAGUGCUUUUGCAAUCAAUCCUCAAAAACCACAGAGCUCACCAGUUGCAUAAUUAAUCUUUUAAUAAUGCUAAUAAAUAGACCCCAAAAAACAGCAUAGUGCUCUUAUCAAGUCUUUGACUACCAUUUCUGCAGUCAGUCCCUAAAAACAGCAGAGUGCUUCUGUAAAAGUGCAGUCGAUCCUUAAAAACGUUAGAGCGCUCUCGUAAUUUAAAGAAUAAUUGAACAGUGGUAAUAAAUUAGAUUCCUAAAAACAGCACAGCCCUCUUGUCAUAUCGAUAAUUUUUGUAGUACAGUAGAUUCCUAAAAACAGUAGAAUGCUCUUAUACAGAAUUUUUGACCAGUGCUUUUGCAGUCAAUCCCUAAAAACCUCAGAGCGCUCCUGUCGAUUAAAGAAUCAUUGAAUAGUGGUAAUAAAUUAGAUUCCUAAAAACAGCAGCCCCCUUCUGUCACGUAGAGAAUCUUUGGCUCGCUUUUAACAGUUGAUCCUCAAAAAAGGAUUUUCAUUUCAAAAAGGAUUUUUGACUAUACCGUUUUUGCAGUUGGUCCACAAAAACAGCAGAGCACUCUUACCAUAGAGAAUCUUUGACUAGUGUUUUUGCAGUCAAUCCUCAAAAACCGCAGAGGUCACCGGUCGCAUAAUGAAUCUUCCAAUAGCGGUAAUAAAUUAGAUCCCCAAAACAGCAAAGCGCUCCUAUCGACAAUCUUUGACCACCAUUUCUGCAGUCGGUGCUUAAAAAAAGCAGUGUGCUUAUGUCAGAGGAUCUUUGAGAGACCUCCCGUCAUUUUAAAGAGUGUUGGAAUAGUGGUAUUUUAUUCCUAAAAACAGCACAUUGCUCUUGUCAUAUCAAUAUUCUUUGGCCAACAUUUUUGCAGUUGAUCUUCAAAAAUAGCAAAAGUCACAUAGAAGAUAUGUAAGCUGAAUGGAAGUUUGUUUUUUUGUGGUUUUCAAGCAGUUCUUGAUUCAGAAUAUUAGCUUUAUGAGUGGGACGAACCUCUGGGUCCAGUGGGAGGCAUGCGGGGUGGAGAGUAGGACACCUGAGAGGGAUGCCAGUCCACAAGGAUGGUCCAGGUCUAGUGUCCUGCCAGGUACAAAAACUGUACUGUUGUCAGGAACGUGAUGAAGCUUCGAGUGGACCUGCUGAGUUAAGAUGCUCUGAGGAGCUGUGAAGGACAAAGGAGGUCAGUAUUUUCCAGUGUGUCCAUGAAUACUUGCCAAAAAGCACUCACUACUUUGUUGGACCUCCCUCCUCCACUUGGCCCGCCUGUUUGAGAACCACACCUGUGUCAAAAGACAAACAGGAAGUGACAAAGCAGCAAAAGACAACAAACGAUGGACUAGUCUCAUGGAAAAUGUUGUCUACUUUGAUGGUCUCCUCUGCAAGCUGGGUCUGGUUGGACAACUUGUCCCUGGUGAACAUGUCCGCAUACUGACUCUGGGAGAACGCUGAUCCAUGAGGCAAAUGACAUCAAAAGAUGCAUUUUUAUUGAAAAAAAUCAAACUAAACUCUGCAAGUCACCUUUCUCCAAGACCUUAGUCUGCUGCUGAGUGAAGGUUGUUCUCGUCCUCAGAGGGACACCUUUUGUCUCCAUGCUGGUGCUGGAGAAACCUGAUACAGUCACAACAUUAGCACACAUCAUGCUGCUUCUUUGGCGGCACAGAAUUUUUGUCUUAUAGAGGAUCUUUAACACGCGGUUUGGUGAAAUAUCCUUAAAGACCGCAGAGCUCUCCUGUCAUAUAGAGCAGUGGUCCCCUAAUCAACAUAAAAAACACAAUAUAUACAUUAUAUAUCAAUAUAGAUCGAUACAGUCUGCAGGGAUACAGUCCGUAAGCACAUAUGAUUGUAUUUCUUUAUGAAAAAAAAAUGAACCCCCCCCCCCCAGUCCGUGGGACAAAUUUUCAAGCGUUGACCGGUCCCCAGCUACAAAAAGGUUGGGGACCACUGAUAUAGAGGACCUUUGACUAAUAGUCCUUAAAAACAGCAGAUCCAUCAUUUAAUAUAGAGAGUCUUUGACUAACUUUUUACAGUCGCUUCUCAAUAACGGCAAAUAACUCUCGUCAUACUGAGGACCUUUGACUCGUGUUUUGGUGGAGUAGUCUUAAAAACAGCACCGCUCUCCUGUCAUAUGAAGGAUAUUAGAGUAGAAGUAGGCCCUUAAAAACAUUAAUUACUUCUGUCAUUUGGAGGAUCUUGGACUAGAGUUUUGGUGGACUACCCUUAAAAAGACCACUCCUUUCAUUUAGAGCAGGGGUGUCCAAAGUGCGGCCCGGGGGCCAGUUUCGGCCCGCCGCUUGUUUUCUGUUGGCCCUCGGCAGGUAGUAAAAAUUGAAUGAGUUCAUUAUUAUCGAGACGUUAUUAGUAAUGCUAUCAAAUGAUACACUUUUAAAAUCAGAUUAAUCACACUUUUGAAGUCGGAUUAAUCAUGAUUAAACACAACUAUUACUCGCUUGCAUGAUUUCAUUUAACUUCAAAUUUAAAUUAAAUUAAAAAGGCCUCAAUACUUGGUCACAAAUGUAAUUUAAUUGUUAGAGUCCGUUUACGGUAAAGGAGCAAAAUAUGUGUGAUUAAUCUGCGUAUUUACAUGAUUAAUGCAAUGUCUUUUGUGAUUGAUCGCAUGAAGUAACUCGUUAUUUUUGACAGCCCUCGUUGUUAGAUGACACUUAUUUUCUUUGUCACCUACAACACAAAGCUAACAGGGAUGUUUUGUUCAGCUAGCUUAGCUUAUAUUGACAUACACUGGUUGGCUUUUAACAUCUUUAGCGGACAAAAUUAGUCAAAAAUGGCCCCCGCAGCCUUCAGUUGUACUGAAUGCGGCCCUCGCCGGUUACAGUUUGGACACCCCUGAUUUAGAGGAUCUUUGACUAACAUUUAGAACCUUAGAAACAGUAGACCACUCCUGUAACAUAGAAGAUCUUGGACUGCCGUUUGUAUAGUUAGUCCUCAAAAAAGCUGGCUACUCCUUUGAUAUAAAACAGUGAUUCUCAAACUGUGGAAUGUGUACCACUAGUAGUACACUAACUCUAUCUAGUGGUACGCCAACAAAUCACUGGAUUAAAGAACAGUGUUUUAUUUUCUGAUAUUCAAACACAGUAGAUGAUCUUUGAAUUGCACUUUCCUUAAAAACAGCAGAAUGCUAUUGCCAUAUAGAGAUGUUUUGACUAGCAGCAGGUGCUUAAAGCAGUAUAUAACUCCUGUCCUGUGGACUCGUAGGAUCAUUGACUAGUAUUUAAUGGAAUAGCCUUAAAAACAACAGGGAUCUCCUGUUAUAAAGAUUAUUUUUGACCUAUGUUUUUUGCAGUCGGUCACUAACAGCAACAGACCACUCCAUUCAUAUAGAGGAUCUUUGAUUAACAGUAGGUCGUCAACUGCACUCCUGUAAUAUUUGUCCAUGUGACUUACUGUCUUCAGUCCUGCAGGGUGCAUGGCUGUGCAUCCAGGCCUGUGGCUUGACUGGGAUCUGUCUUAGAAUUCGGUUUAUGGAAGACACCUUGAGGACAAAAGUCUGUGUAAAGACAUGUCGGUCAACAAAAAGGAUGAGGACAUCCCUAAGACUCACGCUGGGAACUUUGGAAGCCUUGCAGCUCCUCGUGGCCAGAAGACUUUUCCUAAUCUCCCAAGCAAAAACGGACGGAUUGUCCCUUUUGUGCUGAACGAUAGCGGAGAUGACGGCGGGGGUGAGUAGUCGUGGUCUACUCCCGCCGAUUGUUUUUGGCUGCAAGAGGCCAGUAAGUCUGUAGCGGCUCAGGAUCUUGCUGACGCAGCCUGUGGACACCUGGAGAGACACGCCUGACAUAUAAGCUCAUGACAAUUGUUUGAUUCAGACCUUUUUACAGCAAAGUACCCUCAGGAUCCUGGAGAUCUGGCUGGGCCGGACCCCUUCAGAGGCCAACUCCACCAUUUUCCUCCUCUUGGAGUCCGGAAGAGGUCUCCCGUUGAGGAACGUCCCACCAAGCUGGUUCACACUGCUACCACCUUUUUUUUUUUUUUUACAAAACACGCAGUAUGUAACAACAGCAGAGUGUUCCAUUCAUAAAGAGGGUGGGGAUUCUCAAAAACAGCAGUGAUCAUGUCGUAUAAAGAAUCUCCGAUUAGUGUUUCUUGAGUGGUUUCUUAAAAAUUGCAGAGAUAUUGUGUCAUAUAUUAGAUUUUUGAUUAGUGUUUUUGCAGGAUAUCCUGAAAAACAGCAGAGCAGAAGAUCUUUGAUGCAUUUGUCUUUGAAAACAGCAGUCUGCCCCAGGAUCUUUGAUGGGCAUGUGUGCAGUAAGUCCUCAAAAACAGCAGUGUCCUGAGGUUAAAUUUACGUUUUUUUAUCACGCAUUUGGAGCAUAUCUUUAAAAACAGCAUUGUUUUGGCAUUAGGUCUUGAAAACAGCAGAAUGCUCCUUCAUAUAGACAUUUUUUGAUUAGCGUUUUUAGAGUAGGUCCCUAA